UACGGAGGGAGCUAGCGUUGUUCGGAAUUACUGGGCGUAAAGCGCGCGUAGGCGGCUUUGUAAGUUAGAGGUGAAAGCCCGGGGCUCAACCCCGGAAUUGCCUUUAAGACUGCAUCGCUAGAAUCCGGGAGAGGUGAGUGGAAUUCCGAGUGUAGAGGUGAAAUUCGUAGAUAUUCGGAAGAACACCAGUGGCGAAGGCGGCUCACUGGACCGGU
rnacentral:rRNA from 1 species